UAGCUCCAAAAAUGGAACCAAACCAAAGUUGAUUUUUUCAGGUCGUGUUUCGUUUUUGAAGUUUUUUAUUCAACGUUAGCAACGUUACGGAUAAUCUAAUAUGGGGUAGCUCAACUUCACUUAUAAAUUUAUCAUGUAAGACCAGUUUAGCGAAACUGGAUUAGAAUAUUUGAUAUAGUCGUUCGACCUCACUGGAAAUCAAUAUGCAGUUUUAUUCGCAUAAACUCAAGACAACUACAGGGUGCAACUGUUAGUGAGGUCGUGUUGUUGUCAGUGGAAAGCAUACCAAUGGUUUGGCUUCGUAUGUCCCUGCAGCGAAGAUAUUUUCUCCUGCUGUGUUUUGCCGCCGGUGUGAUAAUUGCUUAUCAGUUUAUAAGGAGUCACACUGAAGUAGGAAGAAUGAGCCGUGUGGAGGGUCUUAGGGCCAACUCGUCUCAGUUCACCCUGGAGGGAGAGCCCUUCCGCAUCCUGGGAGGCUCUAUCCAUUACUUCCGUGUCCCCAAAGCCCACUGGGAGGACCGUCUGCUGAAGAUGAAGGCCUGUGGCCUCAAUACUCUCACGACGUACGUGCCAUGGAACCUGCAUGAGCCUGAGCGAGGGGUGUUCAACUUUGAGGAUCAGCUGGAUUUAGAAGCCUACCUCCGACUUGCGGCCAGCUUGGGCCUCUGGGUGAUUCUGCGUCCAGGGCCGUACAUCUGUGCUGAAUGGGAUUUAGGGGGACUACCCAGUUGGCUUCUACGGGAUCAAAACAUGAAACUGAGAACUACCUACCCAGGAUUCACUGAUGCAGUCAACUCCUUCUUUAAUCGGCUCAUUAAGAAAGUUGUUCCACAUCAGUACUCCAAGGGUGGCCCGAUUAUUGCGGUUCAAGUGGAAAAUGAAUAUGGCUCCUAUGCCCAAGAUGAAGAGUACAUGCCCUUCAUCAAGGAGGCGCUAUUGUCAAGGGGCAUCACAGAGCUGCUGCUGACCUCAGACAACAAGGAAGGACUAAAGCGUGGAGGAGUGAAAGAAGCACUAGAAACUAUCAAUUUCCAGAAACUGAACCCGAAUGACAUCAAGUAUCUGGAUGGAAUACAACCUCACAAGCCAAAGAUGGUCAUGGAGUACUGGUCUGGCUGGUUCGAUCUCUGGGGGGACCUUCAUCAUGUGUACACAGCUGAGGACAUGUUGCCAGUGGUCACAGAGAUCCUUAAACAGGACAUGUCCAUCAACCUCUACAUGUUCCACGGUGGAACAAAUUUUGGCUUCAUGAGCGGAGCAUUUGCUGUUGGGAUGCCAGCACCUAGACCUAUGGUGACAAGCUAUGAUUACGAUGCUCCAUUAUCCGAGGCUGGGGAUUACACCACCAAGUACCAUCUUCUGAGGAAUUUAUUCAGCCACUACCACACCCAGCCUCUCCCUGAACUGCCCUCUCAACGAGAGAGGAGAGCGUACCAGCCUGUUGUCAUCCAGCAGCACCUGUCUCUGUGGGACAGCCUGCAUUUCACUGACAAGCCUUUUAAGUCAGAGAGACCAGUGAACAUGGAGAAUCUCCCUGUCAACAAUAACAACGGUCAGUCUUAUGGCUACACGCUGUACGAGACCGCCAUCACCAGCGAAGGAACCCUCUACUCGAAGAACAACAUCAGAGACAGAGCUCUGGUUUUUGUGGACAAACGUUUUGUCGGUGUUCUGGAUUAUAAGACACAAGAACUUGCACUCCCCGAUGGGAAGGGAAAAAGAACUUUAAGUCUGCUGGUGGAGAACUGUGGAAGAGUGAAUUAUGGUAAAACGCUGGACGAGCAGCGCAAAGGUCUUGUAGGAGAUAUCGAGCUGAACAAACGCCCCCUCCGUGACUUCAUUAUUCACAGUCUGGAUAUGAAGCCUGGCUUUGUAAACAGACUUGAAAGUUCAGGCCACUGGAUGUCGAUGCGUCAGCGGUCCUCCUUCCCAGGGUUUUUCCAGGCCAGAUUCUAUGUGAACAGUUUUCCUAAAGACACCUUCAUCAAGCUCCCUGGCUGGAGCAAAGGUGUUGUGUUUAUCAACGGCAAGAAUCUGGGACGCUACUGGUCCAUUGGUCCUCAGCAAACUCUCUAUGUCCCAGGGCCCUGGCUUCACAGGGGGGACAACCAGGUCAUAGUGUUUGAAGAGCAGGAAACAGAUGGCAAGAUUCAGUUCGCCCGCAGCCCGGACUAUGGCAUGACUGUUGAUGUCCAGUGAGGACAGGAGGGCCGUUACUCUGGCCCAUAAAUAGGCCCGUUGGAGGUGAUGGAGGGCCUCAGAGGGAGACGAAGCACUUCAGCUGAUUCCCAGAGAAAGAUCACCAGCGUCUGCCUCCACAGCGACUCACCACCUCUAUCUGAACCACUACAUCCUACCAAGCAAGACCAUCCAUUCAUCUGCUGGCUUUUCACAGCUCCAACCUGUCCCAACUCCUUGUCUUCUUGUCAGACCUGCCUCAGAGGAGGUUAUCUUCCCAAAUAAACCCACCAUCGUCAUCCACCCAUCUGUGUUCGAGUCUGCUUUUGGGUCCUAAAGAACACUAAGCCCCGACAACAACAAAAUGAGAGAAAUACAAAUAUAUACAAACAAAUACAAUUAUGGAAAUAAUAAAACAC